rnacentral:rRNA from 1 species
UACAGGGGGUGCAAGCGUUGCUCGGAAUUAUUGGGCGUAAAGCGCGCGUAGGCGGCCACUUAAGUCGGAUGUGAAAGCCCCUGGCUCAACUGGGGAAGUGCACCCGAAACUGAGCGGCUUGAAUGCAAAAGAGGGUCGCGGAAUUCCCGGUGUAGAGGUGAAAUUCGUAGAUAUCGGGAGGAACACCGGUGGCGAAGGCGGCGACCUGGGUUGACAUUGACGCUGAGGCGCGAAAGCGUGGGGAGCAAACAGG